rnacentral:lncRNA from 1 species
UAAGGGGUUGAGCGUGCGAUGGUGGCUGAUAAUUUGGGAUGUGUUAUGAUUGGUGCAGCAAGAACUUAUGAGCAUUUUGGCCGAGCAACGGUGUGGGAUCAUGGUAACUAGGCAGAAGCGGUCGUUGUGGAGUUUGGAUCUAUAUGUUUGUAGCGUAAAGCUAAGUAGGGGAGCCCACCAUUUACGAUUGGGUGUUGCGGCCAAAUGCACACGCAAGUAUACACAGUCGUCAAGUAAUAAAGUGACUAAAAGUCGGAUGUCGAACCCACGAGAACUUGUGAUUAACUAUUAACUAAACUAGACUAUCCUAAUUAUCUAAACAAGAAUUAAACCGAAAAAUAUUUGAUUCUAAACUAAUUAAAUAAAAAAAUAUAAAUAAUGAACUUUGAACAGAGAAAGAGAAGAUUUUUAUGAUAUCAAUGUAAUGAAAACGAUCUAGGGUUAUGAGCUAUCUAACAAUCCUAUUGUGUUCUUCAAUUGAAUUGACCGACUGCUCCUGCGCACGCUUUCGACUUGUAGGUCUCCUUUGUCUUCUACUUUCAUCUCCAAUUCACCUACAUAUAAAAUAGAGUCAAUUAAGCACAAAUAUAGUAUAGUUUAGCAUUAAAGCCCCAAAAUGUAAGGUAAGUAAUGCACUAAAAAUAUGUAAUCAUAACCAAACAUCACUACCCCACACUUAAACUCUUGCUCGUCCUCGAGCAAUCAAACUACAUUUUAUAUAGACACGACCUUUUUAAAUAAUUUUCCUAACUCAUCACACCAAGAAUCUUUAAAAUAGACUAAGCACAAGAGUAUAACCUCUUCACCUCAAAAUUUGACUCACAAGUACCACGCCUUAUUCACAACUCACUCGCUUACUCUAACAUAGAGGUCAAUGACAUUACCUUUCCUUUAUGAAUCAAGUGCCCUCACACAACAAAAGAGAGUACUUCCACACACAAUAAAAAUUUAAGAACAAUUAGGAACUCAAGAUAGAAAGAAUUCACUCACUCUCAGAAAUAACAUUCAUAUGCCACAAAAGAUGCGCCAUAGGCUUGCCCGUAGUGUACUACUCUACUAAUUUAGCUUAUUCAGUCUAGGAUCAAGUAGGACUUUAAUUGGUUGUAAUGUAGGCUACGGGUCGGUAGGAUAAAUUUGGAUAUAAGAGUGACUACACCUCCCUAAGUACUUUAAUACAUAUACUUUAACAUUUAACCCCACACUUAUGUCAAACCAUAACUCCACCUUCACAUCAAUGUAUAUUAACUCCAUACUUCUUUAAGCACAAUUAUAUCAAGAGUCACCACUAUCAAGGAAUAUUUUUCACAGCAAUACAACUAUUGUUUCAUUUCUUUUCUUUCUUUUUCAAUUCAAGUCGCUUUUCUUAUUUUUUUAUUUUUUAUUUCAAAACAGUGCACAUUUCUCCUUAUUUCAUUAGUUCCACUCAAAAGCCAAACCAACCAUCCCACACUUUAACUUUUAUAAAGUUCAUAANNNNNNNNNNNNNNNNNNNNNUACGAUACAUAGCAAUAAAGAGGGUAAAUUAUAUAACUGGUUCAACAAAAAAAUGCCUAUAUUACUUCCAAUACUGAACAAAACUACUAUUUCGCUUUGCAAACACACGGGGCAAGUUCUAGACAUCAAGUACAAUGCACAGAAUUACACACAAACCUCACACACACAUGGCACAUAACUCACUUAGGAUUGGACUCAUCAGGACAUUCUAGUCAAAGAAGUUAAGCAAAGUUAAGAUCAUAUGAUUUAAGCUACUUAUACAAGAGUCAAAAACUGAGCCUAAGCGUCACACCUAAAGUACUCACUAUUCUCAAGGCAUAACAAAGUUAAGUGAUAUUACUCUAAUUCAAUUCAUCUCACAGUGGCUCCUACUCCAAAAAAAUAUAAAACUACCUACACCCGGUUCAAAUAAAACCCUUGAAAAAGAACCGCGACAGAAAGAAAACCCAAGGGAGAGGGUAUACCAUAAAUACUUAUUUUGCUAUAAAAUAUAAAAGGUAGCUAAAGAAAAUAAUAUUUUAAAAUGGUUUUGGUUUAUAAUAAAUAGGGUGUAUACCUUUGCUAUAUGAGGUAAAAUAUACAAAUGGGCCAGAACUUUUGGGAAGAAAUGGGCAAAUGAACUUUAAAAGCUUUGGGCAUGUUUCCUUGAUUUAUAAUAGAGUGGGCGUAGCAAAAUUUUUAGUUUUGGUCCAACUUUCUUCUUAAUUUUUGAAUUUUAACAAAAUAUCAAUUAAGUUGAGGCACACGUAUGACUUAGCCAAUAUAGAGUUCCGUGCCGUUUCAAAAAAUCAAUGAUUCUUUUAAAUAAAAAAAAAAACUUUAAGCUACACCAGGAAAAAGAAAUCAAACAAACAUGGCAAAAAUGAUUUACAAAAACGGACAAAAAAUGAUGCAUUUCUUUUAUUUAGCAAUUGUUACCACCCUAAUUAAAUCAUCCAACUCAACUGGAAAAAUGCAUACUCACUUGUUGAGAUUAUAUACUUGACUAACAUAUUAAAGUACAAUAACAUUUCAGACAUACCAGUUCAAUCAACACCCGAAAGUCGAACUUAAUAAAACUAUACUAAAAUCUAUCAACCUUCAAACACCCCUGUUUUCGUAUCAUAUUAACUCUAACCAAUGUAGCUUGAUUAUCAAUUUUCGAUUAGCUCUAGUAUCCGAACAGUGAUGGCAUGAACUUUCCAGCAAUACCUAACGGUAGUACAUGCUCAUAUACACUCUUCUUCUGAGAAUUAGACAAAGUAGCAAGUCCGAACCAUAACACCUAGUCUAUGAUCUUUAGAGUGACUAAACAAGAUUAACAUAGCACUUCAACUAUCAUUAAAGGAAGAACAAAAGCUUCAACUAGCAGUUACAAAUUCACAUAGUUGAGUCAUACAUACUGUAUUAAAACACUUGAAACAAUUAGCAAAAUGAAACCAACUCUAUUCCAACAGUCCAAAUAGGUUCAAAUCUUUUUCACUAUCAUCAAGAAUCAGCGAUACUAAGGUUUAAGAGUUACCUGAUUUGCAAUAAAAAGAAAUUCAUCAACGAACAAGCGGAAAACCAGCAACAAAGACAACAGCAAAUCAGCAGUAGCAGCACCCAAGAAUACCCCAGAAAAACCCAACAAGAGGCACUAGAAACUAGAAGCUAGUAACUCCGUAAAUUACCCAAAAGAUCUUUCUAUUUUUUGUGAAAAAUUUUACACUCAAAUAAUACUCACAAAGCUCUGAAAUUUUAGCUUGCUAUAUGUAUUAAAAUGCUGAUUUUUCUCAAAGAUAUAUGUCUUUUUUAGAGUGCAAAAGAUGAUCCCUCCAUAUAAGAUAGAGUGUAAAGAUGUGUAGUCUUUUAUAUGAAAAAAGGCAAUAAAUUCAUGAAUGAAAAUCUGUCCAUAGGACAUAUAUUUCACCAAAAAUCUGCACUAACUAUUCAAAGGACAAACUUUUGGUUCAAAAAUCUGUCCAAAGGAUAAUUUUUUCACCAAGUGUGAAUAGUACUAGGAGCAGUAUAAUCCCAACAGCCUUUAAACAGUAAAGAGCAACCAAACAAGUACUCUACUAUCAUGAUCAAACAUAUUUACUCUUCAGCUUUUCAGCAAAUAAUAGUACCACCCUACUUGCUCACACACAAAUCAGAUUCAAACAAUUAUGGGCUGCCAAAGAAGAAAUAAUACUUUCGAUAGAACUAAUACUCAAACUAACUAGAUUAAAACGAUUGAUUUGUGCAAACUAACAUCGAAAACAACUGAAUUCACCAACUAAAGUGCGAAACAUAAAUUAAUGAGUAUUGUUAACUAUCCGACAGCGACUAACUAAGCAAAUGAUUUAACUAUACAAGAUCACGUUUGAUCUAUAAUCAUCCAACAAUCCGCCUAUCAAUACAAAUAGCUAAACAGAAACUCUAAUUAACAGUAACCGAUCAAAACAAAACAAAUAAAACCAGAAACUAGAAUAAAAAUCAGAAACUAACAGAGAAAGAAAAGAAAGAAAAAGAAAGGUUAGGGGUUAUACCGGACGGGAAAAAUCAGGUUAUCCUAGAGUCUCAAAGCCAAUGCGAAUCAUAGAAAAUCGACUCCCCGACCGUUGUUUUCUCGACGGCAUGUACUGGAAAAAGAAUUCCGACGCACCGAAAUUGAUUCCAAGUCAUGCCAACUAGAAAACGGCACUGUGGAGUCGCAUUUAAAGAUAGAAGACGAUUCACAUGGGUUGGUUGGGUGUUUCAGGGGCGGCAACGAGCAUGGUGGUGGUUGGCAGCUUCGCUGGAAAAUGGUUACAUGAUUUCUGACGUGAAACAAAUAUUUCUAUCUAUUAUAUAUAUAUAUUAUAUAGAAGAGAGAAGAGAAGGUCGAUCAAGG